rnacentral:lncRNA from 1 species
CCACCCUGUACUCCAUUUAGGAAACAACUGUUUAAAAGGAGUUUUUUAAAAUUUGGUCAUUUUAGAGCACUCCUUCACAUCAUGAAAACUGGAUUUUAUGCUUGCACUAAAGUGAAUUCAGUAUUAUGGCUGUUAAGGGAGAAAAUAUUCAAACUUCACAUGUACUCUGAAGACAACCAAUCUUGGCCAAAUCCCGAUUGUAGGGAUGUGGACGCUUAA